AUAUAAUUAGUAUUAAAAAGAUACGUCGGAUUUAGGUUUCGGAGAUAAAAAUUAUAUU
rnacentral:tRNA from 1 species